AAGUCGUAACAAGGUUUCCGUAGGUGAACCUGCGGAAGGAUCAUUAUUAGCAACGGGCGCGUAGUGCCACACCACGGGUUGCACGGUAGUGCGAUCCGUGUGUGUUGGACUCGACCCAUUCAUUUCUAACCAUGUGCGAAAGUGGGUGUUCCGGGUGUUGAAAGACGCUCGGGACACUUUCCUGACACGCUCGAUAGCCAAAUCAUAUAAAAAAAACAAAUUUUAAACAACUUUUAACAAUGGAUCUCUUGGCUCUU
rnacentral:misc_RNA from 1 species